rnacentral:rRNA from 1 species
AUUGAACGCUAGCGGGAUGCUUUACACAUGCAAGUCGAACGGCAGCGCGGACUUCGGUCUGGCGGCGAGUGGCGAACGGGUGAGUAAUGUAUCGGAACGUGCCCAGUAGCGAGGGAUAACUACGCGAAAGCGUAGCUAAUACCGCAUACGCCCUACGGGGGAAAGCAGGGGAUCGUAAGACCUUGCACUAUUGGAGCGGCCGAUAUCGGAUUAGCUAGUUGGUGAGGUAACGGCUCACCAAGGCGACGAUCCGUAGCUGGUUUGAGAGGACGACCAGCCACACUGGGACUGAGACACGGCCCAGACUCCUACGGGAGGCAGCAGUGGGGAAUUUUGGACAAUGGGGGCAACCCUGAUCCAGCCAUCCCGCGUGUGCGAUGAAGGCCUUCGGGUUGUAAAGCACUUUUGGCAGGAAAGAAACGUCGCGGGCUAAUACCCCGUGGAACUGACGGUACCUGCAGAAUAAGCACCGGCUAACUACGUG